GGAGGAGGAGGAGGAAGAAGAAGAAGAAGACCAGAAAGAAGAAGAUUUGCUUAUGCUAUUGGGUUUCUUUGGUUUGGUAUGGACUAUUGAGUAGUUGGCGUUGGGAGUGGAGUUUGAAUUGUGAUUUGUAUGUAGGGUUGAAGGUGGAUGACUCAUGAGUAGAUGAUAUAUGGUGAUGGAUGAUCUUCAGGCCUCUGGGGUGGAUCCACGGAAGCAAGCCCUGCUGGAAGCUCGUUUCAUUGGGGGUUCCAAGGGCUCAACGGGUUCGAAUGACGGAAACGGGAGUGGGAAUGGAGAUGUGGGCUUGGUGUUUUCGAACGUCAAUUCUCUGCCUGAGCCCCUGAGUGGGUCCCCUGGUCUUUGUGGAAUUGGGGUUGGCGCUGUGCCCAGUUUUAAACAUGUGAAAUUUAGUUCGGAAUGUCUUGAGAGUGUAGCAGGUAGUCUGGGUACUCCAGGACCCUCUAGUGUCAAACAGGGGUCCGGGUGUACUGACUCUCUGGCUUCUUCACCUGGGAUGUCGUCUUCUAUGCCUCACUCUAUUUCCACGCCGAUUCUAUCUCAACCUCUUCUCCCUUCAGGCGCAGGCCCUUCUCAACGGGGUUACUCCUCCAAAUCAGACAUUGUUUCUUGUAUUAAUCCUGUAAAGAGACCCCGGAAAAUAUCUGGUGCUUUAGUAAUCUCCAAAAAAUCUGCUACUGGUAGUGAGCUAAAUUCUAAUGGGCCUACAGUACCAAUUGGUUCCAAUUUCGUUCAGAACCAAGAUUCAAAUAUGAGUACAGGUUCUUCACACUCUGACAGUGGAAAAGAGAUGGAACAGUCUCCAGAAAAAAUGUCUAAUCUUUCUAAUCAAUCAGUCCAAUGCCAGUCUCGUACCCUUGUUAACAAACGCAAGCGAAAAAUCAACAUAGAAGCUACCACUAGCAGAAGUGCACCUGUUACAGUACCUCCUCCAGGUUCUUUGGUUUCUAAUUCUCAGUCUAAUUCUGUUAAUCUUAUAAGUCAAACGUGUUCAGAUCCGAGUAAUAGGAAAAUAAAUGAUUUUUUCUAUAAGCAUUCCCCUGCUUCUCCCGUCAGAGGGCAGUCUGGAUCUACUCGUUCAUCACCAUCUGAAAUCAUACCUGCAUCUGGUACUCGAAGUCCUUUACCUACAGUGAAUUCUUCAUCAUUUUCCCAUCCUGUUUAUUCUCCUCAAGGUAAAUAUCCUGGGCCACAAAACGAAUACUUUCAAUCUCCUAAACAGGUAACUAAAUCAGUACAAACAGAUAUGUUACUUGUAGAUGUACGGAACCUUGAGACUCGAAGUCAAAGCGAACUAGAAUUGAAAGAAAAUCGAAUAGAAGAGCUAUCCAGAAUGAAUGAAGAGAUGAGGCGUCAACUUACUCAAAGUUCAAAAACUAUUGAGGAACAAAAAACAACUAUUAAUAAGUGCUUAGAUGUAGUAAAAGAGCUUUUAAUCGAAAAGUCAAAGAUUGAACGUAAAGAAGCUCGAGCUAAGUGCAUGCAUAAUCGAUUAAGAUUAGGACAAUUUGUUACUCAAAGAGUUGGUGCAAGUUUUCAAGAAAAUUGGACAGAUGGCUAUGCAUUUUUAGAAUUAGCAAAGCGACAAGAGGAAAUUGCUAAUGAGAAAGAGGAAAUUGACAGAAAACGUAAAUUACUUUAUAAGCGUAAGCCAACUGAAAAUGGUACAGGGGGUAGAAAACGUUCAACUUCCAAUUCAGGAAUAAGUUCUUCAAUUUGUACGAGUGGAAUCCCAAGUAACGUUGGAAGUUCAACUGGUAGUUUACAUAAUGGAACUGCAGAUGAAACUAUGUUUACUAAGCCUCCCCCCAGGGACGGUAUGACCAUGCAAGAAUAUUAUGAGGCAGAAGAAAUUUUACGAUUACGAGCUAAUACUCUUAAAAAGGAAGAUUCUGAAAAGCAGGCUGAAAUGGAAAAAUUAGAAAGAUCUAGAAAUCUCCAUAUUCGAGAAUUAAAAAGAAUACAUAAUGAAGAUCAAUCUAGAUACAAUAACCACCCUUUACUUAAUGAGCGUUAUCUUUUAUUGAUGCUUUUGGGAAAAGGAGGAUUUUCAGAGGUUCAUAAGGGAUUCGACACUAAGGAACAACGAUAUGUUGCUUGCAAAAUUCAUCAACUUAAUAAAGAUUGGAAAGAUGAUAAGAAAGCCAAUUAUAUUAAACAUGCCCUUAGAGAAUACAAUAUACAUAAGAAUCUUCAACAUCCUCGAAUAGUGAAUCUAUUCGACGUGUUUGAAAUUGAUCCUAAUUCAUUCUGUACUGUGUUAGAAUAUUGUGAUGGCCACGACUUGGAUUUCUAUUUGAAACAGCAUAAAGUGAUAUCAGAAAGGGAGGCCCGUUCUAUUGUUAUGCAAGUUGUAUCAGCUUUAAAGUAUUUGAACGAAAUUCAACCUCCGGUUAUUCAUUAUGAUCUCAAACCAGAAAGACCGACGCACGAAAUAUCUAUUUGAAUCAUCUUGUUAUUUAGCCAGCGUACUAUUAGGAGUAUCAUUGUUGACAAUUGAUCUAGUGCUUCUUCCUAAUUUAUAAAGGUAUUUUUCAGGCUUUAGUUUGAGCUCAUCUGGGCAAGACUUUUUUAUCCUUAUUCUGUCUGUACCAUAAACUAUUUUUUGCUUCAAUGUCUCUUAGGGUAAUCUACUGGAAAAAUUUAUACAAGGAAACGUGAUGGUUUUAAUUUUAAUGUCCUCACAGGGCUUCAUAACUACAUCUUCUGCCACAUCAGAGCAUUAAUUAUGUAUUCAAAACAAACCAAAUGCAUCAUUGUAAAGAAAGAAAGAAAAUAGCUUAUUUAUGAAUCAGUCAUACAAAGUUCUUAAUGUAUGAUGUCCACUAUUGUGGAAAGAUGGAAAAAUCAAUAUUUUUUGCUAAUGAAUAUCUAAAAUUAUGAUUUUCCCCCCCGCUUAGGUGAGUUAGUGUGUGUUACUUGAGGUUAAUAUGUAUUAUUUUUUAUCUGAUAUGCUUUCGGGGGAUAUAACAAUUUGGCAAGAAGGCUCUGUAUUGCACUCACUUAUACAUCAUCGUCAAUGAUUUCAAAUAAAUUUUUCAAAAGUGGAGAGAAAUAGUUACCAAGUAGUGUAAAACCCCAUGAUCUGAUACCAUGAUAUGUGGGAUUUAUUUAAAUAUUAACCAGAUGAAGAAAUUAUCAUGUAAGAAAAUGCCAUUUCAAUAGUUGUCCACUGUAGUGAGUAUGUCUCUUAGAAAAAAAAGAACUAAAUUUGUCUGAGGUUCUUGAAUAUUUAGAUGUGCUUGACGAAUGUGAUCUCGAUAUCGAACAUAGGAGGGUAAGUAAUGUAUUUAUCUAGCAAACAAUGACAAACUGGACCGUGCCGAUAAAUUUGCAAAAAAGUGAAUGAAAGUAUCGAUGAAUUAAUGGUACUUUGUUAUGGGUGUCAUAGCUGUAAACAGUACAUCCAAAACAAACCAGUCAAAUUUGGAAAUAAGUUAUGGGUUGCAACGACACCACUUGGUUACGCCAUACCAUUUUACCCAUAUGUAGGAUUAAAAUUGGAACAACUUGCCCCAAUAGAAUUGGCAAUAUACCCUUGAUCACAGUCGAUGAUAUGAAAAA
rnacentral:misc_RNA from 1 species